rnacentral:rRNA from 1 species
GACGAACGCUGGCGGCGCGCCUAACACAUGCAAGUCGAACGAGCGAGAGAGAGCUUGCUUUCUCGAGCGAGUGGCGAACGGGUGAGUAGCGCGUGAGGAACCUGCCUCAAAGAGGGGGACAACAGUUGGAAACGACUGCUAAUACCGCAUAAGCCCACGGCUCGGCAUCGAGCAGAGGGAAAAGGAGCAAUCCGCUUUGAGAUGGCCUCGCGUCCGAUUAGCUAGUUGGUGAGGUAACGGCCCACCAAGGCAACGAUCGGUAGCCGGACUGAGAGGUUGAACGGCCACAUUGGGACUGAGACACGGCCCAGACUCCUACGGGAGGCAGCAGUGGGGAAUAUUGCACAAUGGGGGAAACCCUGAUGCAGCGACGCCGCGUGGAGGAAGAAGGUCUUCGGAUUGUAAACUCCUGUUGUUGAGGAAGAUAAUGACGGUACUCAACAAGGAAGUGACGGCUAACUACGUGCCAGCAGCCGCGGUAAAACGUAGGUCACAAGCGUUGUCCGGAAUUACUGGGUGUAAAGGGAGCGCAGGCGGGAAGACAAGUUGGAAGUGAAAUCCAUGGGCUCAACCCAUGAACUGCUUUCAAAACUGUUUUUCUUGAGUAGUGCAGAGGUAGGCGGAAUUCCCGGUGUAGCGGUGGAAUGCGUAGAUAUCGGGAGGAACACCAGUGGCGAAGGCGGCCUACUGGGCACCAACUGACGCUGAGGCUCGAAAGUGUGGGUAGCAAACAGGAUUAGAUACCCUGGUAGUCCACACUGUAAACGAUGAUUACUAGGUGUUGGAGGAUUGACCCCUUCAGUGCCGCAGUUAACACAAUAAGUAAUCCACCUGGGGAGUACGACCGCAAGGUUGAAACUCAAAGGAAUUGACGGGGGCCCGCACAAGCAGUGGAGUAUGUGGUUUAAUUCGACGCAACGCGAAGAACCUUACCAAGUCUUGACAUCCUGCGACGGUGCUGGAAACAGUACUUUCCUUCGGGACGCAGAGACAGGUGGUGCAUGGUUGUCGUCAGCUCGUGUCGUGAGAUGUUGGGUUAAGUCCCGCAACGAGCGCAACCCUUAUGGUCAGUUACUACGCAAGAGGACUCUGGCCAGACUGCCGUUGACAAAACGGAGGAAGGUGGGGAUGACGUCAAAUCAUCAUGCCCUUUAUGACUUGGGCUACACACGUACUACAAUGGCGUUAAACAAAGAGAAGCAAGACCGCGAGGUGGAGCAAAACUCAGAAACAACGUCCCAGUUCGGACUGCAGGCUGCAACUCGCCUGCACGAAGUCGGAAUUGCUAGUAAUCGCAGAUCAGCAUGCUGCGGUGAAAUACGUUCCCGGGCCU